rnacentral:rRNA from 1 species
CCUGACCUAGGGGCGCAGCAGUGAGGAAUAUUGGUCAAUGGCCGUAAGGCUGAACCAGCCAAGUCGCGUAAAGGAAGAAGGAUCUAUGGUUUGUAAACUUCUUUUAUAGGGGAAUAAAGGUAUCCACGUGUGGAUAUUUGCAUGUACCCUAUGAAUAAGCAUCGGCUAACUCCGUGCCAGCAGCCGCGGUAAUACGGAGGAUGCGAGCGUUAUCCGGAUUUAUUGGGUUUAAAGGGUGCGUAGGUUGUUUUUUAAGUCAGCGGUGAAAGUUUGUGGCUCAACCAUAAAAUUGCCGUUGAAACUGG